rnacentral:misc_RNA from 1 species
GAUGAAGAACGCAGCGAAAUGCGAUACGUAAUGUGAAUUGCAGAAUUCAGUGAAUCAUCGAAUCUUUGAACGCAUAUUGCGCUCUUUGGUAUUCCGAAGAGCAUGCUUGUUUGAGUAUCAGUAAACACCUCAACCUCUUCUUGAUUUUUCAAAAGGAGGGUGGACUUGAGCUAUCCCAACAACCUUUACCGGUCGGCGGGCGGCUUGAAAUGCAGGUGCAGCUGGACUUUUAUCUGAGCUAAUAGCAUAUCUAUUUAGUCCUCGUCAAACAGGAUUAUUACUUUUGCUGCAGCUAACAUAAAGGAUAAUUGUCCUCUUUGCUGACUGAUGCAGGAUUUUACGACACUUUAUGUGUUGUUCAACUCGAUCUCAAAUCAAGUAAGACUACCCGCUGAACUUAAGCAUAUCAAUAAGCGGAGGA